AGCGCAGGCGGUUGGGUAAGUCCAAAGUGAAAGCCCGGGGCUCAACCUCGGAAGUGCUUUGGAUACUGCUCGACUCGAGUUCGUGAGAGGAAAGCGGAAUUCCAGGUGUAGCGGUGAAAUGCGUAGAUAUCUGGAGGAACACCGGUGGCGAAAGCGGCUUUCUGGCGCGAUACUGACGCUGAGGCUCGAAAGCAUGGGGAGCGAACAGGAUUAGAUACCCUGGUAGUCCAUGCUGUAAACGUUGUGCACUAGGUGUGGGAGGUAUCGACCCCUUCCGUGCCGCAGCUAACGCAUUAAGUGCACCGCCUGGGGAGUACGGUCGCAAGGCUGAA
rnacentral:rRNA from 1 species